rnacentral:RNase_P_RNA from 1 species
CCAGACGGUCGGACGGUCGCUGCCUUUCCGCAAGGAAGGGGGGAGGAAAGUCCGGGCUCCACGGAAGAACGGUGCCGGCUAACUGCCGGCGAGGGUGACCUCAGGGAAAGUGCCACAGAAAACAAACCACCUUCCGGCUUCUCUGCCGCAGGAAACUGCGUUUUUGAAGUGAAGGUAAGGGUGAAACGGUGCGGUAAGAGCGCACCGCGCUUCUGGUAACAGCGGCGGCAGGGCAAACCCCACCGGGAGCAAGACCGAAUAGGGACGACAGGAAACGGGCCACGGCCUGAUUUCCGGGGGGUCUUCCGCCCUGUCGUCCGGGUUGGUCGCGUGAGGCGUGUUGCAAGACACGUCCCAGAGGAAUGACCGUCGCGGUCCGUUAUGGACCCGUACAGAACCCGGCUUACAGACCGUCUGGCAUC